rnacentral:rRNA from 1 species
UACGUAGGGUGCGAGCGUUAAUCGGAAUUACUGGGCGUAAAGCGUGCGCAGGCGGUUCGCCAAGACAGGUGUGAAAGCCCCGAGCUUAACUUGGGAAUUGCGCUUGUGACUGGCGUGCUGGAGUGUGGCAGAGGGAGGUGGAAUUCCACGUGUAGCAGUGAAAUGCGUAGAGAUGUGGAGGAACACCGAUGGCGGAAGGCAGCCUCCUGGGCCAGCACUGACGCUCAUGCACGAAAGCGUGGGGAGCAAACAGG